UAAUAAAGUUAUUAUUAUUAAUAAUUUGUUUAAUUAAUAUUUGUAGAAAGAACUUCUUUUUUAGUAUUUAUUACAGAAAUAAUUCUUUUAUUUAUAGUUUAUUGUACUGUGAAGGAUUUAAUUUUAUUUAUUAAAAGUAGAUUUUAUUUAUUUUACCUUUUGUAUCAGGGUUGAUUAAUUUAAUAUAUUUAUAUAUAUUUCCCGAAAUAUGGAGAGAUAAAAUUAUUUGUUAAUUAAUGUUUCAAAAUUAUUAAUUAAUUAAUUUUAGAAAUGAAAUGUUAUUCGUUCUUUUAUAUCUGGUUUUUUAAGAAUUGAAUUUAAUUCAAAUCUAAUAUUUUAUAGGAUAAUUUAUAUUUAUUGUAAUUUUUUAGAUAAAAACUUUUAGGGAUGAGCUUGAAAGUGGAUUUUAUAACUGGAUUAUAAAUUUAGGGUUUUGUAGGUUUAAUAUCGACCAUCAUUAAUUUCGUUAUAGAUUAACCUAAUUAUGUAUUUAUUUCUUUUUGUUUAAAUUUUUAUUAAAAUAAGUUAAUUAAUUUUAAUUUAGCUGUAAUAAUGAUUAAAUUAGUAUAUUUAACAAUUAAGUUAUAGGAACUCGGCAAUUAUAAUGUCCACCUGUUUAACAAAAACAUGUCCUUUUGUAUAUUUAUAUAAGGUAUAACCUGCCCAAUGAUAUUUUUAAUGGCCGCGGUAUUUUAACCGUGCUAAGGUAGCAUAAUCAUUUGUCUUUUAAUUAAUGGCUGGAAUGAAGGGUUGGAUGAGAUAUUAACUUUCUUUAAUUUAAUUAUAGAAUUUAACUUUUGAGUGAAAAGGCUCAAAUUUUUUUGUAGGACGAGAAGACCCUAUAAAUCUUCACAUUUGAAUUAUUUAUGAUGUUUUGAGAUUGAUUUGUUAUAAAUUGUUGUAGUGUUUGAUUGGGGUGAUUAUAGAAUUAUAAUAACUUCUUUAUAAUUAUUUCAUUGAUUAAUGUAUGCUUGAUCCAUUUUUAGUGAUUAAAAGAUUAAGUUACUUUAGGGAUAACAGCGUAAUUUAUUCGGAGAGUUCACAUCGAUGAAUAAGCUUGCGACCUCGAUGUUGGAUUAAAAUAAGUUCUGAUUGUAGCAGAUUAUGGACUAGGUCUGUUCGACCUUUUAAUUUUUACAUGAUCUGAGUUCAGACCGGCGUGAGCCAGGUCAGUUUCUAUCUUUAAUUUUAUUAUUAUAUAUUAGUACGAAAGGACCAUAUAUAAAAAAUAUUUUUUAUUUAUUGAUUAAUAUUAA
rnacentral:rRNA from 1 species